GCAGAACGCGAAGAACCUUACCAGGACUUGACAUUGAGUGAAAGUCUAAGAGAUUAGAGCCUCUCCUUCGGAAGACACAAAAACAGGUGGUGCAUGGCUGUCGUCAGCUCGUGUCGUGAGAUGUUGGGUUAAGUCCCGCAACGAGCGCAACCCUUAUCCUAUGUUGCCAGCGAGUAAAGUCGGGAACUCAUGGGAGACUGCCGCAGACAAUGCGGAGGAAGGCGGGGAUGACGUCAAGUCAUCAUGCCCCUUAUGUCCUGGGCUACACACGUACUACAAUGGGCUUAAAUAGAGGGAAGCAAGACCGCGAGGUGGAGCGAACCCCCAAAAACAAGCUCUCAGUUCGGAUCGCAGGCUGCAACUCGCCUGCGUGAAGUCGGAAUCGCUGGUAAUCGCAGAUCAGCAUGCUGCGGUGAAUACGUUCCCGGGUCUUGUACACACCG
rnacentral:rRNA from 1 species